UUAAGAGCAUUCGGUGGAUGCCUUGGCGCUGAGAGGCGAUGAAGGACGUGAUACGCUGCGAUAAGCCGUGGGGAGCUGCGAAUGAGCUUUGAUCCGCGGAUUUCCGAAUGGGGAAACCCACCUU
rnacentral:rRNA from 15 species